GAUGAAGAACGCAGCGAAAUGCGAUAAGUAAUGUGAAUUGCAGAAUUCAGUGAAUCAUCGAAUCUUUGAACGCACAUUGCGCCCGCCAGUAUUCUGGCGGGCAUGCCUGUCUGAGCGUCAUUUCAACCCUCAUGCCCCUAGGGCGUGGUGUUGGGGAUCGGCCAAAGCCCGCGAGGGACGGCCGGCCCCUAAAUCUAGUAGCGGACCCGUCGUGGCCUCCUCUGCGAAGUAGUGAUAUUCCGCAUCGGAGAGCGAUGAGCCCCUGCCGUUAAACCCCCAACUUUCCAAGGUUGACCUCAGAUCAGGUAGGAAUACCCGCUGAACUUAAGCAUAUCAAUAAGCGGAGGA
rnacentral:misc_RNA from 1 species